ensembl:lncRNA
AAGUUACUCCUGGCCUCAAUGCAUUACAUUAGUACAAACCAUGAAAAGUUCACCACUAAUCAGACUCAUUGGAGAGGAUGAAAACUGCCCGUCCAACAUUGUCUAUCAUAUUAGCUGACAGCACUAAAAAGUAUGCCACUAUUUACAUAUGAGCAUUCACCUAUAAAAUUCUUCCUAAGUUCUCUCCAAGUACCAUUUCUUUAUUCAGUGAGCCACACAAUGGCUGAAGUUUGAAAAAAAUAACAAUGACUCUGUGAAAUUAUGUCCUAUUCCACACUCAACUAAACCAGCUUGGAUCGAUUGCUUUCAUUAUUGUUAUUGACGUCAUUAUUCUUUGUUUUCAAGAAACUCACAUAUGAGUUGGAAUUAGGAACCAAUCAAGACGUAUUUAUUAAGCUGCUAACAAAUGCCUACUAUGGAAUCAGUCACUAUUAGGAACACAAAAUGAGGAAGUACAUGAAGGCAGAACGUCAGAGAAGGAAAUUAAAAUAUACAAAACAAUGCUUUUGCCCAACUGCAGUUCUCAUCACCCAUAAUCAUGGUGGUUAGAAGGUUCUGGAAGAGACUUCUCUACAGGAGACAAGCCAUCCUCUGUCUUCCUCCUCUGCUCCCACCUCUAGCAUGAAUGACCCUAAACCAAUAUGGCCCAAGGGAGAAGAUGACAGCGCUCAAGUCUUCUCUCUUCCACCCAGAGGUUAGAGUGACCAGAACCGGGUUCUGUGUCAGAUCACAUUGGGGCUGCCUUUGAAUAGCAGAUGUCCAGAGUCAGUUCUCUCCCCCAUCACAAGAAGCAGAGAAAGAAAUCAGCUCCCCACCCCAGUGACAAGCACAGGCCUGCUAACUAUUUUUACAGCAGGCAAAGAGUUAAAACCACAGCCUCCAGAAAGGCGCCUGUGGAGUCUUCAGGCAGCUGGCAGAGGAAGCUGGGAGCCUGCACCUCUGGGGAAGCCGGAGACCCAUCUAGGGGUCCAGAUAUUGGGCAGGCUGAAUGAGAGGGACCCCCAGACAGCUGAAGUGGAGGAAGAAUGGAGGAUGGAGCCCAGGGCUGGGAGUUCAAGGCUUUGAUACACAAAUAUGUUUUUCCAGUAUCUUCCUGUUGUGCUUGGAAUUGGAUCUGCCCCACCUCGCCGCACCAAGAGUGUGUAAGAGGGAGAAUUCAGAGCUGACUCCCAUAAUCCUUUAGAAGUAAAACUUUCUAAGUGGUCUCUGCUACGCUUAAAGGAUCCAAACAACACCUGGAAGGCGCUGCUGUGCUUGUUUGGCUCUCACAUCAGCGGGAAGCUUGGGAGCCUCUCGGAUAUUCACUUCCGGCCCCCCGCCUUUGUUUUGGUGCCUCCAAGUGACCUCUGACAUUUAUAGAUUUAUAUAAAAUCGCCUCGAUAUAAAAGCACCUCCAGCACUGCUUCUCUUGGCGGCUCCUCAUCUACUCUCCUCUGUAGUCAGCCCCGGCUCAACGUUUCUUUGCGGGGAGGGAAAGGGGCAUGUCAUCUCUUGCUGUCAGCAGUGGAGACGGGAAGGGGAUGUUAAGAGAAGGUGAAGAGGAAGCUAAAACUGCAGGAAGCAAUCAUGUUACCUCAGUUUCCCCAGACCCACUCAAACCUGGAAGAAACAGAAUCCAUUCACAGAAAAAGUACAAAGAUGGGUUUAGGUCAGGCAGUAGAUAAAAAGCUCCAGUUCCUGCCCUCACACUUAUCCCUUUUCUAAGUGCUGGCUCCCUUUACAAGACAACUUGUCAGAGUUUAUUUCCAUAUUGGCGUCUAUGUCUUCAAGGCACCCAAAGUAUCUUGUGUAUCUUUCAACAGAUCAAAAGGCAGAAAGAAAAAUGUUCUUGGAUCAACUCCUAGAAAAACCUUAAACCAGAUUUUCCUGGGAUAUUUCAGGCCAGUCCAUGCCUGUUAUUCCACACUGUGGCAGCUUUCUUUUAAAAUAUGGAUUAAACAAUGUGAUGAAUGAAAAGAUUAAAAGUUCACAAUUCCAGCAGCACUGGUUUCUAAAUUGCUGGGUUAUCCACUUAAAAACUUCUGUGGACUUAUAUCGUCCUCUCUGCUCUCCGGGGCCACCGCCUUUCUUACAGGGAAAAUGGAGAGCCUGAGCUCUCCAGGCAGAGGGCACCGACGCUUGUCAGGAAUGUUGUAAGGGGGACCAGGCAUCGAUUCCAAAAAGGAGUGGAACCAGGCGGACAUUUGGAUUUGAGUAUUUUCUUGUUACUUGAAAAAGAAUUUGAGUUUAUAAAGAAUAUAAAAUAAUAGAUACAUGGACGAUAUUAACUGGGUUUUUAAUACCUAUAGAUGUCUAUAGAUUGACCAAAUUAC